CCGUGCUAGACGGGGAGCUAGCGGUGCCCUGCACCCGAAAUCCGCUUCAUGCGGGGUCGAAUCCCUCCCCGAGGCCUGGUCCCGGUACCGCUGGUCCGGGCCGGACGCAAAGAGCUGGGCCCUGCGCGGCGGAGACCCGUGAACCCCGUCAGGUCCGGAAGGAAGCAGCGGUAAGCGGAUCGCUCCGGGUGCCGCAGACAAGCCUGGCUCAAGUCCGGUCCAAUGGGCCAAGUGCCGGGCCGCCAGUUCGACGGGAGGUGCACGG
rnacentral:SRP_RNA from 1 species